UCACUGAUUUAAUACAACAACAAGACAAACAUAAUUCUAUACAGCUAACUUUACCGUGUUUCUGGUCAUAGAAUGGAAUUCAACAUUUAGUAGUUUCUUUCACUGUGGAAAAGAGCCUGCUGCCUGCAUGUGGUACUAAGCGAGAGAAAACAUGUAUACCGGAAAUUCUUUAUAGCCCGGUCAAACGAGAACGCGAUUUGAGAGUCACGAAUUGUUACAGGGGACAUUUCAUUUUGAACUAUAGUAUAUAUGGUUAUACAUUUUGAACUCCACAUAUAUAGAGAGGGCAACCCCUCUUGAAAUUGCAAAAUUAAUACCAACUAAAGUUGGGGAAAAAAUCACAUGUUUCAAUGCCCA
rnacentral:lncRNA from 1 species